CUUGGGUCUAGGCAUCAAGGGGUGGAAGUGGAAGUGGCACCACUCACCAUCACCCGUGGUGAUCCACUAGCAAAAUUUUUGCUUCUUGUUUCUGUGAUAUUAUGUUCUGCUGGCCUAGAGGGAGGAAUGCUGCCACCAGGAGACACAACAGUGGUUUCAUUAGACUGGAAGUUAAGAUUGCCACUUGGACACUUUGGGCUCCUCCUACCUUUAAGUCAACAGGCUAAGAAGGGAGUUACAGUGUUUGCUGGUGGGAUUUACCUGCACUAUCGAGAUGAAAUCAGUCUACUUUUCCACAACAGAGCCAGUGCUUUGCUUUUUCCAGGCAGUUUGUGACUUCAGGUGGGGGCCUGUGACCAGCCUCCACUAAGAAAAUGGGAGAUGGAACCAGAAAGAGCCACAGUCCACGUUGCCAUGUCCCAGCUGUCCUGUCUUAGAAACCAUGAGAUCUGAUUGUUACUGAGGACUUCAAUGCUGCAACUGGUGUUGAGCAAAGGAAGAGCUGUAUCCCUGUGGGACACACUUAAAGAUAUUGAAAUACUCCAUAACACAAGUGGAAUAUAUUUGAUAUAUAAGAUUUAGAAACUACGGGUAUGAAUAAAGGAU
rnacentral:lncRNA from 10 species